CGGUAGGGUGCGAGCGUUAAUCGGAAUUACGUGGGCGUAAAGUGUGCGCAGGUGGCCGCGCAAGUCGAGUGUGAAACUCCCCGAGCUUAACGUUGGGAAUUGCGCUCGAAACUACGUGGCUCGAGUGUGGCAGAGGAAGGUGGAAUUCCACGUGUAGCGGUGAAAUGCGUAGAGAUGUGGAGGAACACCGAUGGCGAAGGCAGCCUUCUGGGCCAACACUGACGCUCAUGCAACGAAAGCGGUGGGGAGACAAACAGGAUUAGACUACCCUGGUAGUCCACCGACCCUAAACGAUGAUGACUAGUUGUUGGGGAGUUAAAUCCCUUAGUAACGCAGCUAACGCGUGAAGUCAUCCGCCUGGGGAGUACGGUCGCAAGAUUA
rnacentral:rRNA from 1 species